ensembl:lincRNA
CAUGACUCAAGUGAACCGGUUCUUUAAAUGAAUCAAUUUCACUCACGGUGAUUCAUUCACUGAAUGGAUGAACUAAAUGGAUCAAUCAGAUAGUGUUCUUACCGUCAACUUCCAACUCGCUUCCUGCACCCUCCUUGUUUUCACUGUCGUACAAACAGGAAAGGACAAGCAAGGAGGAAGCUCAUCACUCAUUCAUGUAUGCCAUAUCUGUGAAGGAAUCUUGCAAUUCAUCCUGCGGAAUGCAGUUGAUUCCCACAGUGAAGUGGAAUCUUAUAUAGAAGAGGGAUCUCAUAUAGAGUUGGAGACCCCGGGGCUGUGGUAUUAGCCAGGUGUUCAAGAGCAACCCAGACCACCUCUCUGAAACUGGAGUGGGAUAUUAACCAUCGAAAGUUAAGGCCGAGAGGGCUAGCUGUCCGAAGUGUCCAAGAGUUGCCCCCUGCUCUCAUUCCAGCAGACAAUGACUGCCACCGCUGACAAUGUUCAUUUUUCACAAGCACUUACCUGGGAGAGAGCAAAGGAACGCAGCAACCCCUAGAAAACCUCUGUCUGGCAGCACAGCGAGGACGGCGACUGAAGCAGCCGUUUUCCAAUCUCACCCUCUAAUUAUUUUCUCCAGCAUGUCCUGGAAAGAUUUCCUCACACGGUGAGACUAAGCGAUGUACAACUCAUUAAAUUCCUGUUGUGACAGAGCAUACGAGAUAGAUCAGUAGAUGGAGGAUAUGUUUUGGAAAGAAACACUGACAUGCUGUGCGAUGUAUGCUCCUUGUAUCUUUUUUUUCAAUCAGUUGGAACAGUAUGCCGUGAUACACAUUUUAAACUGUUGCUUGAAAUGUUGUGAUCACACAACCAGUUCCACACAGGAUCUGCACUCAGAACAUUUCUUUAACACAAUACAAAAUAAAUAAAUAUAUAUAGAUGAUUCCAACCCUAGAGGGACAUCGUGGACAGCAUAAAGUCUUAAGAAAUACACAAUGCACAAACUGCUGUUAACCCUUGUGCAUUGCAGUGUUGAUUUUGACAGCACUUUUUGAUUUAGUUUUAGUCUUAGUCUAUUGACCAAAAUUCUAUUUUAGUUUUAGUCAUAUUUCAGUCUUUUGAAUCAUUUUAGUUUUAGUCUACAGUCGAAGCUCAAAGGUAGGCCCACACGGAAUCUGUGCGCGCAGAAUUCUGCAGAUUUUCCGCAGAAUUCUGCAGAUUUUUAGCCCAUUAUUAAUUCUGUUUUUUUUAACUUGAGUAAAUGUGUAAAUCUGAAUUUAUUCAGUUUUUAUUCAGUAAUUCAUUACUUUUUAUUUAAUAUAUUAAGGUUUUAGUUAUGAUACUCUAUUGGAUACUCCCAAAAUAAUUCCGCAGAUUUUAACCAAAAUUCUCAGCAGAAAUAGCAAAAAAAAACUUCUGGUUUUGAGAACGACACAAAUAUUAGUUUUCACAAAGUUUGCUGCUAAACUGCUUUUAGAUCUUUGUUUCCGUUGUUUUUUGUGAUAUUUCAAUACUGAAAUAUAAUUACAAGCAUUUCAUACCUUUCAAAGGCUUUUAUCGACAAUUACAUGUGUUACAUGUAAAGCCUGAUUUAUACUUCUGCAUCAGGUGACCGGCGUAACCCACGGCGCAUGCAACGCGCGUGGCUGUGCAUUUAUACUUCUGCACGCUGUCUCUGCCGGUCUGCAUUAAUACUUCCGAAACGCUAGUUGGCAGUGAGGUGUAAAUGUUCCUCUGUGUCGAGUUUCUUCGCUGCUUUUUUUGGUUUUUCUGAACACUUCUGGGAUGUACAAGUGGCUCAAACUCGCUCAUUUUGAGGCAGGAACUGGCGGACGUGCAACAACUUUAACUGUGAGGUAAAAACAAAAAACAAAACUUUCCAUCCGGAGCUCCUUCACGUUACUCCACACUUGUAAACAAUCGCUCGCGCCAUUCGCGCGGCUCUCAGUCCCGCCCAGACUCGUCAGCGCUACCAAGCCGACCAAUCACAGAGCUUAUGCUACGCGUCGUUGCGACGUGUAGUUACAUUUUUUGAGAGGUGCACGACAGUGACGGCCACGGCGAAGGGCUAUGCGUCAAUGCCGUAGCAUACGCCGGCGUUUGACGCAGAAGUGUAAAUCAGCCUUAAGGAAAGCCCUUUUUCUGUUGUCAGGUUUUCUCCUGUUUAAUGGAUAGUCAAGGAGGGUAGUAUUGUUGAUCAUUUAUAGAUCUUUAUUUUCGGUUUAGGUAAGAGAUCCAAUAUUAGGUAACUACUUUGUUUUGUUUGUUGUUUUGUCCUUUUGUUCCCUUGUUUUGAUACUGGAAAUAUUUAUGUUUACUAAAUCUGUUACCCCUUUUCGAUAACUUUGUGCCUGUGUGUGUGUGCUUGGGGAGCUGGAAAGGGGGCUUGGUGACCUCUUUAAAUAGACGGUUAUCUUUAUCACUAUGUACGUAGCGUGAUGCAUCCGCUACGUAACACAUGACAUUUAUGCAAAGAGUCAGUAUUUGCAGUGUUGGUCCUUCUUUUUCAGGAAUUCUGCAAUUCGACAGGGUGUGCUCUCAAUCAACUUCUGGGCCAAAUCAUGACUGAUAGCAACCCAUUCUUUUAUAAUCACUUCUUGGAGUUUGUCAGAAUUAGUGGGGUUUUAUUUGUCCACCUGCCUCUUGAGGAUUGACCACAAUUUCUCAAUGGGAUUAAGAUCUGUUGAGAUAUCCCUUUUGCCUUAUGGCACGGUGUUCCAUACGGCUGGAAAAUGCAUUGUUCUUUACCAAACUGUUGUUGGAUUGUUGGAAGAAGUUUCUGUUGGGGGGUGUUUUGGUACCAUUCUUUAUUCAUGGCUGUGUUUUUGGACAAAAUUGUAAGUGAGCCCACUUCCUUGGAUGAGAAGCAACCCCACUCAUGAACAGUUUCAAGAUGCUUUACUGUUGGCAUGACUCAGGACUGAUGGUAGUGCUCACAUUUUCUUCUCCAGACAAGCCUUUUCCAGAUGCUACUCUACUCUAGAUUUACUCUAUAUUUAGUCGACUAAAAUAUAUUUAUUUUAAUUUAAGUGUAAUUUGAUUAAAUAUUGUAUAUAUUUAUUUAUACAAAACAUUCAAACUUAAAAUAAAAUAAAACAGUCUGAUUAUAAUAUGGAACAUAGCUUUUCCAUUGAAGACCAAAAAUUAAAUAUGCAACUUUAUUUAUAUCAUGAGUAAUAUGUAAAAUUGUAUCGGCAAGAACAAUAGACUACUGAAAAUGCACUUUGCAAUUAUUUAGCAAGACCUUUAUUUUAAUGUGGUAAACUACUAGUCUUUUCAACCAGUCUGUUGAACAGUUUCAUGCAACUAAAUGUAUAAAAGGGCUUAAAAUAGUUUAACUCCACUUUGCAAUGUCAGUCUAUAGCAGGGGUCACCAAUCCUGGUCGUGGAGGGCCGGUGUCCCUGCAGGGUUUAGCUCCAUCUUGCCUCAACACACCUGCCUGGAUGUCUCAAGUAGUAAGACUUUGAUUAGCUUGUUCAGGUGUGUUUGAUUAAGGUUGAAGUUAAAAUCUGCAUGACAUCAGACCUCCAGGAACAAGUUUGGUGACCACUGGUCCAUAGCAAGCUUUACUGUUGUAGAUAGUGGUGCAGAACAUGGUGCUCAGCUGCACUGAGUAAAUAAGUAGAGUAAUGACAUAUGAAAGGCAAAUGAUAGUGUGUUAUCUUGAAAAAUGUGCCCUCAAUCCCACUACAAGCUCACAUAGAGGAAUUUUAAAGCAAAAAUGUACGUAAAAAUACUUCACUAUAAGGCAGUUUCGGUAGAAUGCGACUCCCUGAUAAGCUGAGAUUAUAGGACUACAGUAUCAUUACAUCCUUACAGUAAGAAAAAAAUCACAUUGCUGAAUUACGUGACGUGACGUGAAUUUAGUUUUUUUGGUGGUAGAAACUUGUCCGUCACAAAAUUUAUGACACAUUUUUUGUCAACAAAAUGAACACUGGUGCAUUGUUCAAAUUAACUACCCUUUUGUUAUGUUGGUGACUGUUUUUGCCCCGCUGCCUUCCAUUACAGUGUCUUUUUUGAUAGCAAAGCCUUGACACCAUAUAAUCAUGCGUUUUUGAUUGUUUCCCUGUUGGGAAGAUGUAAAAUUUGCAAUUUUUUUAUUGUUGAUCAUCAAUUGGCAGCAUUAACCCUUUAGAUAGGCCUGUGCAAAAUGGGUCCUGGCUUUUACAUAGAGUUCUAUGGAGUAAAACAUCAGAUUUUAGUGUGCAUGUGUGAAUACACUUACAGUAUGUUUACUAUGUUCUGAGAGCUGAGGGGCUUAUUUUGAUUUUCUCAGACAUAUCAAGGCAAGUGCUCAAAGGUCUCUGUUACACUCUCACACACUAUACUCCAUACAAAAGCCAGAAACUAAGCUUUUAUUUGUAUCUGACACUGAUUAUCAAUUGUAAAAAAAUUACAAAUUUUACCUCUUCCUAAAAGGAAGUCAAAAUGGAAGUCAUUAAGCAAAAACAGCCACGAGCAAAACAAAAGGGUAGUAAAUUUGCCCAGAGUGUAUUCAAAGCAUGUUCCCCAAAUAUGUGUCAAAAUAAGAUGUCACCAAAAAUCAUUCCAUUUGCUGAAACACAGGGAAAGCUGUGGCCAAAUUAAGACUCAAAAUCUUCUGAGUUUUAUCAGAGUGGAUGAAAACAUCCCCAACACACAUAAGGGUUGAUCCUUUUGUUGAUUAGAUCACUUAAUUUAAAAUGUACAGUACAUAUACACAGAUAUCACUAUUCUGAAAGUACACUAUGCAAUGUACUGUAUAACUACAGGUUCGAGUCUCAGCACUAGAAGGGAUCGUAGGUGCGGAGAGUUUAAUAUCCAGCACUCUCUUCCACCCUUAAUAUCAUGGCUAAAAUGAUCCUCUUGAGCAAGGCAUCAAACCCACAACUGUACCCCAGGCAACCCACUGCUCCAGGUAUGUGCUCACUGGUGUGAGUCACCAUAUAUA